GCGAGUAAUUUGUUGGAGAGUAUUAUUUCUACCUAACUAGUAAUUGAAAGUAAAGAGGAGAAAGACGUGAUCUUUUGGAGAAAAGUUUCUGAAAAUAACACAGCGAGCACAGAGAAUGAGACUUUCCGAAGGCAAGCUACCCCUAAUAAUUCUGCCACUGCCGCUAAUUAUUCACAGCCGAGACGUCAAAUCAGUCAAAUAAAUGAUGAAAUUUAUUUUACGAAAAAAUAACCAACGCUGAAGUUUCUGGCCUUCCACAAGCCAGAAUGAAGAAAGUUUGGAAGCAUUUAUCUGUGAAAAUGUACUACGUUCGAACGAAGCUUCCACAAGAUCAGCCGGACCCCGAAUAUUUAUACUGUCACAUGGACGCUUUCAUUUAAUAAGAAUCUAUCUGCUGACAGCCUCGCGUAUGAGACUAUGCGCUGUGUUUAAUUAUAGAAAAUAGUCUGAUACACGCUGAUCUCGGCAAAUAGACAGCAAAAAGGUUGCACUAUUCAUUUUUUGUAACCGUGAGUUCCCAUAAAUAAUAUUAAUUACCGCAAGCCGGGGUUAAGCGGCACACCCUUCAUUCUGCAUUUCUAAAUUUGAUAUUCGCAUCUUCUAUGUAAAAUAUAUAAAGAAUUGCAACGACCCUG